rnacentral:sRNA from 1 species
UUCUAGCCCGGAUCGAAACGACAUCCUUUUUUGAGGAGGAACGACGAAGAAAAGAUAAAGUGGAGAGCCGGAUUGUAU